CAGCCGUAAACUAUGCGCGUUAGGUGUAUCGGUGACCACGAGUCACCGAGGUGCCGAAGGGAAACCGUGAAACGUGCCGCCUGGGAAGUACGGUCGCAAGGCUGAAACUUAAAGGAAUUGGCGGGGGAGCACCACAACAGGUGGAGCCUGCGGUUUAAUUGGACUCAACGCCGGGAAGCUCACCGGAUAAGACAGCGGAAUGAUUGCCGGGCUGAAGACUCUGCAUGACUAGCUGAGAGGUGGUGCAUGGCGUCAGUGACU
rnacentral:rRNA from 1 species